rnacentral:lncRNA from 1 species
UUCUGAAAGGUGGUAAUGGUUCACUUAAAAGGUGUAUCCUUUGGAAGAGUCAUGUUUGUUCGUUCGAAACAUUGUGUCUUUUUCUGAACAGAACAAUCACACUUUUCCAAAAUAAUAUGUCUUUUGCUCAAAGGUUGUGUCCCUCCACUUUUCAUUCACACCAAUUAAACCCAACAAUCCCCCACAUGAAUGGGCAAUGACUAUUCUUUGUAAAUCUUUACGGACAAGUAUG